CUCUACUGUAAACCACAAUAGGACAACCUCACACUUCGGUGUGAGCAGCCUGUUCUCUCUCCUUUGAAAGUCUCCUUGCACUCUUUCACCCAGUCCCCAGGUUUUAUAGCAGCUCUGCCUUCUGCAUCCUCUUUCGUGACAGCAUCAUCAUGCAGUCAUUCAAUAAAACUAAUUGAAGACUCAACUCCGGCUUCAGAACCAUAACAACGGCCUGCUCUCUCUUCACUGCUGAUGAUCUAAUCAUUAAAAUGAAACCUAC
rnacentral:lncRNA from 1 species